rnacentral:rRNA from 1 species
UAGCCGUAAACGAUACUCGCUAGGUGUCGGCCACGGUGCGACCGUUGUCGGUGCCGUAGGGAAGCCGUGAAGCGAGCCACCUGGGAAGUACGGCCGCAAGGCUGAAACUUAAAGGAAUUGGCGGGGGAGCACAACAACGGGUGGAGCUUGCGGUUUAAUUGGACUCAACGCCGGGAAGCUCACCGGAUAAGACAGCGGAAUGAUUGCCGGGCUGAAGACCCUGCAUGACCAGCUGAGAGGAGGUGCAUGGCGUCAGUGACU